UUAAUUUUUCUUUUUCAGAUAUAAUUCAUCCUAAAGAUAAAGUUUACAUGGAUUUGUAGAUCAAAUAAGAAGGGAGAGUCCUAACACAAAACAAACAUGCGACAAGACAAUCCUGAAGGCCAUAUCCGUGUGGAUUGAAGUGGAAUUCAAGGAGGAGACUUCUAUAUUAUUUUAUCAUAUGUUUCUCAUGUUUUGCAACUAAAAGACAUCUAAAUUCACAUGGGAUAAUUCACAAGGAUUGACUAAGGAGAAGACAAUUAUCUAUUUAAAU
rnacentral:lncRNA from 1 species